rnacentral:ncRNA from 1 species
GAAAGCCGUGUGCGUUGAAAGGUGCCCGCACGGUUUGGAGGGGGGCGUAGGGAUAUCCUCGCGGCUCGGUUCACGAGAGAUUCUAUGAGUAUUGUGCACCCUCACAGAAAGGAGCAAUCGUCAGUGCACGCCGCUCAAGCAAGCGGUUGCAACUCACUACCAACCCAAAC